UACCAGCACCCCGAGUGGUCGGGACGAUUAUUGGGCCUAAAGCAUCCGUAGCCGGCCUUACAAGUCCUCCGUUAAAUCCAGCUGCUUAACAGAUGGGCUGCGGAGGAUACUAUAAGACUAGGAGGCAGGAGAGGCAAGCGGUACUCAGUGGGUAGGGGUAAAAUCCUCUGAUCCAUUGAAGACCACCAGUGGCGAAGGCGGCUUGCCAGAAUGCGCUCGACGGUGAGGGAUGAAAGCUGGGGGAGCAAACCGG
rnacentral:rRNA from 1 species